rnacentral:rRNA from 1 species
AUUGAACGCUGGCGGCAGGCCUAACACAUGCAAGUCGAACGAGUGGCGGACGGGUGAGUAAUGUCUGGGCAACUGCCUGAUGGAGGGGGAUACCUACUGGAAACGGUAGCUAAUACCGCAUACCAUCAGAUGUGCCCAGAUUGGUUUAGCUAGUUGGUGGGGUAACGUCUCACCAAGGAGACGAUCCCUAGCUGGUCUGAGAGGAUGACCAACCACACUGGAACUGAGACACGGUCCAGAAUCCUACGGGAGGAAGCAGUGGGGAAUAUUGCGCAAGGGCAGAAAGCCGGAUGCAGCCAUGCCGCGUGUAUGAAGAAGGCCGUCGGGUUGUAAAGUACUUUCAGCGGGGAGGCGUUACCCACAGAAAAAGCACCGGCUAACUCCGUGCCAGCAGCCGCGGUAAUUC